GGUUCCGAGAGCGCUGCGGUCACGGAGGAAGGAAAGGUGUCUGCGGUAGAGUGUACCCCUUCUAGUACACUGUAGCUGCGGCUUCGCCGUCACCUGUCCACCGCAAGCCGCGAAAACGAUUUCGCACCAAUGGAAAUUUAUGCCUCUUGAAGGAAGUGUUGUGUGCUGACCCCCUUCAGCAAUCCCGCUGCGUGGGAGGACGUGCUGCGAAAUGUGAUGACAGCGGUAAAUCGUGAGCUCACAAUUCGCGGCAUCAAAGAACGAGUGGACCUCCUCAUCGGCUAUUUCCGACAGCAGUACACAGCGAACCUGAGGAACACAGGAUACCUCAGAAGCAGGGAAUAUGGAGGACAGUGACGCUGAUCAUGACGCUCAAGAGCCCAACGCUGACCAUGACGCUCAAGGGCCUCUUCGUGUGCCGGAACGGCAGAAAAUACCCACAUUCUGCUGUUCUGACAGGAAUCAGAGGCCUCCGGGCCCUUGGACUUCAGCACCUUCUUAAAAGAGAAGAUAAUGAGUUUCUUGUCCGGCAAAAAAGAAAUAGAGCUGCAACACCGACGGCUUGACCAGGAGGAACGACGCAUGGCACUGGAAGAACGAAAAGUGGCGUUGGAUGAAGAGCAACUGAGAAUGGAGGCUCAGCGGCACAAUGCGACCUCUGAAAUUCUGCAUGGAUUAAGCAACAAGCUCGAAGAAUUAGAAAAAAAAAUUACCUGCCUACACAAAUAAAGACAGUGUCAGAGGAAGCAG